CACCACAGGCAUAUUAGUUUCUAGAACAUGUCUGCAAAUUUUCAUGGACUUUGGUUGCUUAAUAUUCAAAUGAAAUUGAGGCUACGAUUGUAUGGAGUAAGUGACGGAGAGAACUGUUAAGACAGUGCUAAUAUGGCCAAUUAAUCCUUAAAAAGCACACUGUCUUUAAAAGCACUUCAUUGACUUAGUAUAAUAUGUAUAAUAUUAAAAAAACAUAAUAUAGCCAGUAGAUAGCUGUUUUGAAAGAGAAAUUGAUAAAGACGUGAACACAUCACUGUGUUGUUGUGUGUUGUGACUCGUGAAUAGUGACGCGAGAAAAAGCGAUAGCAGUCCUAAUUUUUUUUGUCUUUUGUGGAGUGCUCCGCUCGUUACCCCAGGUUGCUUUGCAACAUGCAACAACACUGCAACAGCUUAGGUAUUUAAUUUUUCAUUCAUUACAUAAGUAUCUAUUUACAUACUUAUACCUAAUUGUAGAUCGCACAAAACGAUUAUAUCAUUAGGUACCUUUUGAUGUUUUGUUACGCUUAGAAAUUUUCUACCUAAUAAUUUUUUAUGACAUUUAUUUCUAUUGUAAAGUGGAUGCACAAAAAAUCUUAUCAUAAAAAGACCAACUUUUCUAAAAAUAUUGAAUGUCUUGUCUUUCCUCUGCAUUUUUGUUAUACUUAUAUUUAAGUAAAUGUAAGUCCUAUGUACCCAAAGUCCUUCAAAUUAUUAAGCCUUAUUUUCUAAAGGUGCAAACACACUAUCGUGUUGAGGUGUGUUGUGGUCGGGGUCUACAUGUGUACACUGUACACUAGUCGGUUGUGUUGCUAUGGUGAACGGGCGCGGACCAAUCGGACCAACGCUUAUAGCUACCAUACCAUACCAUAAUACUAUUCACUGUGUCUGCACCUUAUAGAUGCGAAAAAGUUUGGACGGUAUUUUCUGAAAAUUAAUAUAUUCACUUUUGUGAUCGUACCAACUAUGGAUAUCAUGGGGAUUAGGGAUACUUGUCAUAAAUUUUGACAGCUUAUCUAAAAGUCUACUCCCUAACUCCUCGGUCCAUGGAGUUCGGCUCAAGAAACAUUGCAAUAAAACGAUGCGACGGCGGGUCUUUUUCAGUGUAGCAAAGAAAACUGAACUUCUGCUAAAAAGACGCGCGGCGAUGCGUGCGUUCGAGGCAAUUAGGUAGGUAGGUAGGUACCACACAUUUGCAGUGGAUUUAAAAUUCAGUUAUCUUUCUAAGAUCUUUAAUAAAAAGACGCGUUGAUUCGCUUCGACUCUGCCGCAAUGAGCCUUGAGCUUAAUGCGUGAGUAGGUAGGCAUGCAAGAUUGAAGUUCAGAAAAUGCGUGGAAAAGCUUCGUAUUUCUUCAUUCGUAGUAAUAAGUGAAUGUAGUUCCAACAGGCUGGUCCCUGUAUUGAUAUUCUAUACCUCAUAAGUACCCAAUAUUUUACCAUUGCGUAAGAAUAAAUUUAAAAAUUAAAAUUACGUGUAAAUUACUACCGUGGCGAUGUAUUCAAUUGAAUUGUUAAAAUUAUUUAUGUAUUCCGGAAUGAUACGUAUAAUAAAUCGAUGUCCUGAUUAAAAUUAUCUUAAUAUUAUA